GGUGGUUCUCGGGUGACACACCCCGAAUUGGGCUUCCUCCUCUCUAGUUCCUAGUGCGUCACCUGAGAACCGCA
rfam:Myotis brandtii contig237322, whole genome shotgun sequence.